ACGGGAGGCAGCAGUGGGGAAUAUUGCACAAUGGGCGCAAGCCUGAUGCAGCGAUGCCGCGUGAGGGCAGAAGGUUUUCGGAUUGUAAACCUCUGUCAUCGGGGACGAUAAUGACUGUACCCGAGAAGGAAGCUCCGGCUAACUACGUGCCAGCAGCCGCGGUAAUACGUAGGGUGCGAGCGUUAUCCGGAAUUACUGGGUGUAAAGGGAGUGUAGGCGGGACUGUAAGUCAGAUGUGAAAUAUACCGGCUCAACUGGUAGACUGCAUGUGAAACUGCGGUUCUUGAGUGAAGUAGAGGUAAGCGGAAUUCCUAGUGUAGCGGUGAAAUGCGUAGAUAUUAGGAGGAACAUAAGUGGCGAAGGAGGCUUACUGGGAUUUAACUGACGCUGAGGCUAGAAAGCGUGGGGAGCAAACAGGAUUAGAUACCCUGGUA
rnacentral:rRNA from 1 species